GAUGAACGCUGGCGGCGUGCCUAAUACAUGCAAGUCGAGCGAACAGACGAGGAGCUUGCUCCUCUGACGUUAGCGGCGGACGGGUGAGGAACACGUGGAUAACCUACCUAUAAGACUGGGAUAACUUCGGGAAACCGGAGCUAAUACCGGAUAAUAUAUUGAACCGCAUGGGUCAAUAGUGAAAGACGGUUUUGCUGUCACUUAUAGAUGGAUCCGCGCCGCAUUAGCUAGUUGGUAAGGUAAAGGCUUACCAAGGCAACGAUGCGUAGCCGACCCGAGAGGGUGAUCGGCCACACUGGAACUGAGACACGGUCCAGACUCCUACGGGAGGCAGCAGUAGGGAAUCUUCCGCAAUGGGCGAAAGCCUGACGGAGCAACGCCGCGUGAGUGAUGAAGGUCUUCGGAUCGUAAAACUCUGUUAUUAGGGAAGAACAAAUGUGUAAGUAACUAUGCACGUCUUGACGGUACCUAAUCAGAAAGCCACGGCUAACUACGUG
rnacentral:rRNA from 1 species